UACAGAGGGUGCGAGCGUUAAUCGGAAUUACUGGGCGUAAAGCGCGCGUAGGCGGCUUUUCAAGUCGAUUGUGAAAUCCCCGGGCUCAACCUGGGAACUGCAGUCGAGACUGUCUAGCUAGAGUAUGGGAGAGGGAAGUGGAAUUUCAGGUGUAGCGGUGAAAUGCGCAGAUAUCAGGAGGAACACCGGUGGCGAAGGCGGGUCUCUGGGCCGAGUACUGACGCUGAGGAGCGAAAGCGUGGGGAGCGAACAGG
rnacentral:rRNA from 1 species